UUGCCCAAUGAUUAUAGCAAGACGCGUUAUGACGAGGACUAAUGCUGGAACUCUCUCUCCUCUUCCUCCUCCUUUGUCCCUUCCUCUUUCACCUUACCCCCCUCACUUUCCUUAGGGUAUCCAGCGUCCUAUGAGCAAGACUGAGAUAUGAGGGCAA
rnacentral:snoRNA from 1 species